rnacentral:rRNA from 1 species
AGGAUUAACGCUGGCGGCGUGCAUGAAACAUGCAAGUCGAGCGCGGUGUGAUGCGGGGUAACCCAAUUCACAUCUAGCGGCGAACGGGUGAGUAACACGUGAGCAACCUACCUUUGAGUUGGGGAUAGCCCUGGGAAACCAGGAUUAAUACCCGAUGUGGUCACAACAGGACAUCCUGAUGUGAGUAAAGGCGUAAGCCGCUCAAUGACGGGCUCGCGGCCUAUUAGCUUGUUGGUGGGGUAACGGCCUACCAAGGCGAUGAUGGGUAGCUGGUCUGAGAGGACGAUCAGCCACACUGGGACUGAGACACGGCCCAGACUCCUACGGGAGGCAGCAGUGGGGAAUCUUGCGCAAUGGGCGAAAGCCUGACGCAGCAACGCCGCGUGUGGGACGAAGGCCUUCGUGGGUUGUAAACCACUUUCAGCAGGGACGAUUGUGACGGUACCUGCAGAAGAAGCCCCGGCCAACUACGUGCCAGCAGCCG